rnacentral:lncRNA from 1 species
CUGUCACACUGUGUGUACCUAGCUGGAGACGAGGGUGGAGAUCACAUCAAGAGAAGCCUAGAAUUUGCCCCAGGGCCAUCAGAUGGGGUUGUGGAGAGCAGUGCCAGGGAAAGGCCCCUGGGCUUCCGGUUCCUGGGAGACACGGGGGUCUGGGAGCAGAGGCUAUGAGGGAGGCAGAAGAAUUCAAUUUGGGACCCCCUGAAUGUGAGGGUCUGUGGCACAGCAUGGGGUGAAGGAUGCCAGAUCAGGGGCUCCCAGGAGAGAACUCAGGGAAGAAGCUGGAACUCUGGUAGUUGUCAGGAUGCAGGUGACACUGCAAGCCUCGGAGGGAGAGCAUAGAGGGAGAGAAGCGGCAGCAAGAAGAACAAACGGAGCCUGGGAGAAGCCGACACCGAGGGAAGGGAGGAAAGCUAGGAACUCACCUAAGAGCUCUGCAGCUGGGAGAUCCGGCUCCUGGCUGUCUUCCUGGCCAGACCUCCCCUCUGGCAGCAGACAAGAUGCAUCUGUCACCAAGCCUGCUGCUCUGGGAAACCUAAUGGCUUUUGAGUCUGCCCAGGUGGGCAGCGGGACAAGUUUACCUCCCUGCUUCCUGCCAUCUCCCUCUCGCCGGCUCUGGCUGCUGCUUCGGCUGCUUCUGAGGCAGCCCCUCCAGGCCCAUGCUGCCCUCCCAUUCCAGGCCCAGCGCUCCAGACUUUCUCCUCAUCAGAGUUUACCAGCCUGGUCUCAUUCCCUCCUCCCUGUCCCUUGCCAAGUUCUGCCUGGCUCCCUGCCCCUCUCUUCCCUUCUCCUUAGAACAGGAGCCAAUUGAGGCCUGCCUUCAGAGUCAGCUCCACGCCAAGCCCUGGGACCCUUCCAUUAAUGGCAGCAAAGUCAGCCCAGGAUCUGGGAGCCAGCAUCAAGGACCCUCCCCUUAGAAGUUCAUUUGACUGUCCUUAUGCCCCAGUACCAAAAAGAAGGUUUUUGCCUCCAGAAACUGAGACCCAAGGACUCCAAGCCGCUCUCUGGCCUUUUUCUUGCAUAUAUCAUCAGCCCACCCCAUGCCAAACAUACCCCAGAGUCUUCAUCCUCCAACUCCAGCCCAAGGGGAGGCAUGGGGGCGUAGAGAGGUAGCUGAUGUUCCCAGGGUUUGGGGCAUCAGUUUACCAUCUUU